UACGGGGGGAGCAAGCGUUGUUCGGAAUUACUGGGCGUAAAGCGCGCGUAGGCGGCUUUGUAAGUUAGAGGUGAAAGCCCGGAGCUCAACUCCGGAAUUGCCUUUAAGACUGCAUCGCUAGAAUCAUGGAGAGGUUAGUGGAAUUCCGAGUGUAGAGGUGAAAUUCGUAGAUAUUCGGAAGAACACCAGUGGCGAAGGCGACUAACUGGACAUGUAUUGACGCUGAGGUGCGAAAGCGUGGGGAGCAAACAGG
rnacentral:rRNA from 1 species